AGGGAAGAUAUGCGGAGGGAGGGCAGGUUGUCUGAGGAGGGGGAGUGAGCAAACAACUUCAUGGUGCUUAGUUACCCCUGGGGUGAAAUUACAACACAUGUAGAUAGUUGUUGGAAGUUUGACUUCUGACAUCAGGUCUACUGGAAACACCUGAGGGAGUAGGGGGAUGAAGUGCACUGUGUAAGAGAGGCGGAAUACUUGUAAUGCAGGUACCAUAUCAAGGUUUUUUUCUUGUGGUAUUAAAACAGCGACUGAAAAAAGUAUUUUGUUGUCGUGGGGGGGAAACGUGGGUUUAUUACAAGUGCUCAAUCACUUCAGCUGACGGAAUGUGUCCCAUUUUUUUCAGGUAACAUUACAUGGAACCAAUAAUCUUUUCUGUCUUGCAGGAGGCAGCUGCAUAGCCAGCAGGGCUGGGCUGCUGCUUGUGAGGUCACCUCACUGCAACACUGGGCUUGGCCACGAGCAGGCGGGCAGUGAGAGAGCAUUGGGAAGAGCAGCUGAGAAAGCUGCAUGCAGGGGCCUGGGCCCUGGUGAGGCCCUGCCUGAGUGACACUGCCGGGAUGUGGGGGAGUAGGGGAUGAGGCAUGGACACUGCCCAGGGUGGUAGUGGGGUGAGAAGGGAGCAGAGGGGCACUGCCCCGUGGGGGGAGAGAGUGGUGUGAGAAGGGAGCAGAGAUAAAGCAGUGCUGUUAGGAGCAGCAGUAUCUCACACACUGUUGAAGGGUACACAGAGGAGAAAUAGCCAGCCUAGGGGUGACACCUUCUUGGCUGAUCUCUCAUUUUAUGGGGCUCCAGUCACUGUCCACCCUGGGCAUUCACAGUCCGUGGAGAACGUGUAGGCUCUCCACACAGCUCCACGUUCUUUUCCUGGGGAAUGUCCCUGCCACACGUGGGACAGCCAUGGGGGUAUAGCUGACUGACCAAUCACCAUCUCCACUGUCAUCAGGUGCCACUCAGUCAUAAACCCUAAUCUCAGUCUGUCACAGUGAGCAGUUGAAACAUUGUGCAAGUGCUCUGGUUGUACAGAGCUGCAAAUCCAAUCUCACCUACUGUCAGUGCAUCCAUUCAGCUACAAAAUCCCCUGAAUUCUUCUCCCUUUGGUCUUGCCUUCUGUUGAACAGAAGAGCACUAACAGGAGAGCUGUGUCCCAGCUGGAGAUACGUGGUAGCUACUUUGUGGGCCCAGGUGGUGGUGGUACGUGUGUUGUGCCUGUUCUGGUGCUCAGAGGAGAUGCUUGUGUUUUCAUUUGGUCUCACUGGGAUGAGCCACUCCCUGUUUUGUCCCCUGACCAAGCAUAUUUGAGUUCUCUUGUUCUUUGGAGGGUCUGUAUCUCCUUUCUGGGUCUUAGGCCCAUUCUCG
rnacentral:lncRNA from 1 species